AUACGGAGGAUCCGAGCGUUAUCCGGAUUUAUUGGGUUUAAAGGGCGCGUAGAUGGAUGUUUAAGUCAGUUGUGAAAGCUUGCGGCUCAACCGUAAAAUUGCAGUUGAUACUGGAUAUCUUGAGUGCAGUUGAGGCAGGCGGAAUUCGUGGUGUAGGGGUGAAAUGCUUAGAUAUCACGAAGAACACCGAUUGCGAAGGCAGCCUGCUAAGCUGCAACUGACAUUGAGGCUCGAAAGUGUGGGGAUCAAACAGGAUUAGAUACCCUGGUAGUCCACACGGUAAACGAUGAAUACUCGCUGUUUGCGAUAUACAGCAAGCGGCCAAGCGAAAGCGUUAAGUAUUCCACCUGGGGAGUACGCCGGCAACGGUGAAACUCAAAUGAAUUGACGGGG
rnacentral:rRNA from 1 species